UCGAAGGGGGGGCUCCUUUGACGGGGGGGGGGGGGCCGGCCGGGAAAUUACAAAGGCCCCACCAACCGGGGAGGUUUUUUUUUUUGGUUUUGUCUCGGGGGGCAGGGCCCGGCUUAACAGAAGAAAAAAGAAGGCUUUCUUUUGUUGGGGGAGGGGGGAGAAAAGGGACCUCCCUCCAUGAGGGUGGGUAUUGUGGGAGCCGGGAUUUUCCCCAUAAUAAUUACCCCGCCCUUUAAUAGAGAGGGCGGUGUCCUCCCUUAAUAAAGCGGCCGGCCUGUUUUGUUGUUGGAAGGACGGCUCCCACACCGCACAAUUCCUACCCCCCUGGAAGGGGGGUUGCCCCACCGGAAUGGAAACCCCGUCCGAUCUCUUUCGGGGGGCGAGCGUAGGUAUUUUCCCUAAUGGGGGGAAGCCUACCGGAGCCAACGCCGCGUGAGUGAUGAAGUUUUCUGGUUCGUAAAACUCUGUUUUCCAGUGAAGAACAAAUGUGUAAGUAACUGUGCACAUCUCGACGGUACCUGAUCAGAAAGCCACGGCUAAUUACGUGCCAGCAGCCGCGGUAAUACGUAGUUGGCAAGCGUAUUCCGGAAAUAUUGUGCGUAAAGCGCGCGUAGGCGGUGUGUUAGUUUUGAUGUGAAAGCACACGGCUCCAACCGUGGAGGGUCAUUGGAAACUGGAAAACUUGAGUGCAGAAGAGGAAAGUGGAAUUCCAUGUGUAGCGGUGAAAUGCGCAGAGAUAUGGAGGAACACCAGUGGCGAAGGCGACUUUCUGGUCUGUAACUGACGCUGAUGUGCGAAAGCGUGGGGAUCAAACAGGAUUAGAUACCCUGGUAGUCCACGCCGUAAACGAUGAGUGCUAAGUGUUAGGGGGUUUCCGCCCCUUAGUGCUGCAGCUAACGCAUUAAGCACUCCGCCUGGGGAGUACGACCGCAAGGUUGAAACUCAAAGGAAUUGACGGGGACCCGCACAAGCGGUGGAGCAUGUGGUUUAAUUCGAAGCAACGCGAAGAACCUUACCAAAUCUUGACAUCCUUUGACCGCUCUAGAGAUAGAGUCUUCCCCUUCGGGGGACAAAGUGACAGGUGGUGCAUGGUUGUCGUCAGCUCGUGUCGUGAGAUGUUGGGUUAAGUCCCGCAACGAGCGCAACCCUUAAGCUUAGUUGCCAUCAUUAAGUUGGGCACUCUAAGUUGACUGCCGGUGACAAACCGGAGGAAGGUGGGGAUGACGUCAAAUCAUCAUGCCCCCUAUGAUUUGGGCUACACACGUGCUACAAUGGACAAUACAAAGGGCAGCUAAACCGCGAGGUCAAGCAAAUCCCAUAAAGUUGUUCUCAGUUCGGAUUGUAGUCUGCAACUCGACUACAUGAAGCUGGAAUCGCUAGUAAUCGUAGAUCAGCGUGCUACGGUGAAUACGUUCCCGGGUCCUGUACACACCGCCCGUCACACCACGAGAGUUUGUAACACCCGAAGCCGGUGGAGUAACCAUUUAUGGAGCUAGCCGUCGAAGGUGGACAAAUGAUUGGGGGAAGUCGUACCAAGGUGGCAUGG
rnacentral:rRNA from 1 species